AGUGAACGCUGGCGGCAGGCCUAACACAUGCAAGUCGAGCGGCAGCGCAGCAGUAGCAAUACUGUGGGCGGCGAGCGGCGGACGGGUGAGGAACACAUCGGAAUCUACCUUCUUGUGGGGGAUAACGUAGGGAAACUUACGCUAAUACCGCAUGAGACCUGAGGGUGAAAGCAGGGGACCGCAAGGCCUUGCGCGAGAAGAUGAGCCGAUGUCCGAUUAGCUAGUUGGGGAGGGAAAGGCUCACCAAGGCGACGAUCGGUAGCUGGUCUGAGAGGAUGAUCCGCCACACUGGAACUGGGCAACGGUCCAGACUCCUACGGGAGGCAGCAGUGGGGAAUAUUGGACAAUGGGCGCAAGCCUGAUCCAGCCAUGCCGCGUGUGUGAAGAAGGCCUUCGGGUUGUAAAGCACUUUUGUUCGGGAAGAAAUCUUCCGUCCUAAUACGGCGGGAGGAUGACGGUACCGAAAGAAUAAGCACCGGCUAACUUCGUGCCAGCAGCCGCGGUAACAC
rnacentral:rRNA from 1 species